UACGUAGGUGGCAAGCGUUGUCCGGAUUUAUUGGGUUUAAAGGGUGCGUAGGCGGUCUUAUAAGUCAGUGCUGAAAUAUCCCGGCUUAACCGGGAGGGUGGCAUUGAUACUGUAGGACUUGAGUAGAGUUGAGGUUGGCGGAAUUGACGGUGUAGCGGUGAAAUGCUUAGAUAUCGUCAAGAACACCGACAGUGAAGACAGCUAACUAAGCUCAAACUGACGCUGAGGCACGAAAGUGUGGGGAUCAAACAGG
rnacentral:rRNA from 1 species